AUUGAACGCUGGCGGCAGGCCUAACACAUGCAAGUCGAGCGAGCGGCGGACGGGUGAGUAAUGUAUCUGGACUGCCCGAUAUAGGGGGAUAACUCCUGGAGACGGGAUCUAAUACACCAUACGAUCGGAUAACCCCCAUGGGAUUAGCGAGUAGGUGAGGUAAUGGCUCACCUAGGCGACGAUCCCUAGCUGGUCUGAGAGGAGGAUCAGCCACACUGGGACUGAGACACGGCCCAGACUCCUACGGAGGCAGCAGUGGGGAAUAUUGCACAAUGGGAGCAAGCCUGAUGCAGCCAUGCCGCGUGUAUGAAGAAGGCCCUCGGGUUGUAAAGUACUUUUAGUCGGGAGGCGUUACCGACAGAAGAAGCACCGGCUAACUCCGUGCCAGCAGCCGCGGUAAUAC
rnacentral:rRNA from 1 species